CACAGCAAUACUGAAAUUAGGACAAUGAACAACCCUACAAUGGCCGCUAAGUGUUCAAAUGAAAGGAAGAGUCGCAUGUCUCUCACUUUAAAUCAGAAGCUAGAAAUGGCUAGGCUUAGUGAGGAGGCAUGCUGAAAGCCAAGACAGGCUGAAAGCUAGGCCUCUUGCACCAGCCAAGCUGUGAAUGCAAAGGAAAAGUUCUUGAAGGAAAUAAUAGUAUAUACUGCAAAGGAAAAGUUCUUGAAGAAAAUAAUAAUACUAAUACUCCAGUGAACACACGAAUAAGAAAGCAAAACUGCCUUACUGCUGAAAUGAGAAAGUGGUCAGGAUAGAAGACGAAACCAGCCACAACAUUCCCUUAAGCCAAAGUCUAAUUCAGAGCAAGACCCAAACUCUCUUCCAGUCCAGGAAAGCUGAGAGAGGUGAAGAAGCUGCAGAGGAAACGUGUGAAACUAGCAGAGGUUGGUUUGUGAGGUUUAAGGAAAGAAGCUGUCCCCAUAACAUAAAAGUGCAAGGUGUAGCAGCAAACACUGAUGGAGAAGCUGCAGCAAGUUAUCCAGAAGAUCUAGCUAAAAUCACUGAUGAAGGUGGCUACACUAAACAACAGAUUUUCAAUAUAGAUUAAACAGCCUUCUAUUGGAAGCAGAUGCCAUCUAAAACUUUCAUAGCUAGAGAGGACUGACUCCAACUUUGAAAGAAGUUCUACUGUGGGUAAAAUGCUAUCCAAUAGCAUCACAUACUACAGAUAAAUCUUUCAUGAAAGGGAGAGCUAAUCGAUGUAAUUCAUUGUUGUGUUCUUUUAAGAAACUGCCACAGCCACUCCACCCUUCAGCAACCACCACCUUGAUCAGCCAGCAGCCAUCAACACCGAGGCAAGACCCUCCACCAGUAAAAAGAGUGUGACUCACUGAAGGCUCAGAAGAUUGUUAGCAUUUUUAAAAAAUGAAUUAUUUUAAAAUUAAGUGGUCUGGAACCGAACCUGCAAUAUCUCUGAAGUACACCUGUAUUGGGUAUCAGGCAU
rnacentral:lncRNA from 1 species